rnacentral:rRNA from 1 species
UACAUGAAGCUGGAAUCGCUAGUAAUCGCGGAUCAGAAUGCCGCGGUGAAUACGUUCCCGGGUCUUGUACACACCGCCCGUCACACCAUGGGAGUCGGAAAUGCCCGAAGCCGGUGACUCAACCUUUAAGGAGAGAGCCGUCGAAGGCAGGUCUGAUAACUGGGGUGAAGUCGUAACAAGGUAGC